ensembl:lncRNA LINC01690 long intergenic non-protein coding RNA 1690
UAAAUUUCUACCAGGCAGGAAACAGCUAGAAACAAGGUUGAGUGUUCAGUCUUCCUUCCUGCAGGAAAGGUGAUUCCCUGGAUAAUUUCACAUUAGGCUUUAAGAGCUCCUUUCCUGUGGCAUUGUGGGGGUGGAAAAAGAAAAGCCAGUCUUUUAUCUUUAUGGAAAUCUCACUGUUCGGAUACAAAAGUCUGUAAUAGAGAAUUGUUCCGCCUCUUAAAGGAGAUCCGUGGGGAAAGACCUGGCUGGACAGCCUUUUACAUAGCCCCAGUGAAAACAAUGCAGGAAUCUGAAAAGGUCAUUAGGAAAAUAAAAACUUAAAGUCCUGAAAAGCUUUCUGACAAUUGUCCAAGGCCAUGCAGUCCUGAGGACACAGAGGACACCAGCCAUCCCUCAGCCACGACCCACGAGCCAACCCAAUCAGACCACAUCUUGUCUUUCAGGAAAAUGCACUGAAUUUUGUACCAUGCCCCCAAAAGCCUGGAUCAAAUUAAGAGUUUUAAUACUCAAAGUCAUUUAUAUUGUGUCUCUAAAGCAUAUACAAUAAAUGUACGCAUCACUCAGGAUAUAUUAAAA